rnacentral:rRNA from 1 species
CCUACGGGAGGCAGCAGUGGGGAAUAUUGCACAAUGGGGGAAACCCUGAUGCAGCGACGCCGCGUGAGCGAUGAAGUAUUUCGGUAUGUAAAGCUCUAUCAGCAGGGAAGAAAAUGACGGUACCUGACUAAGAAGCCCCGGCUAACUACGUGCCAGCAGCCGCGGUAAUACGUAGGGGGCAAGCGUUAUCCGGAUUUACUGGGUGUAAAGGGAGCGUAGACGGCGAUGCAAGCCAGAUGUGAAAGCCCGGGGCUCAACCUGUGGCCUGCAUUUGAAACUGUAGUUCUUGAGUACUGGAGAGGCAGACGGAAUUCCUAGUGUAGCGGUGAAAUGCGUAGAUAUUAGGAGGAACACCAGUGGCGAAGGCGGUCUGCUGGACAGCAACUGACGCUGAGGCGCGAAAGCGUGGGGAGCAAACAGGAUUAGAUACCCGUGUAGUC